UUAAUGUUAACAUGAUCAACACAUGCCUUUAAAUGAAAACGAAAUAUAUAUAUAUAUAAAAUUAUGUUUAUUAUAAAUAUAAUAAAACAUAAUCACAAAAGGGGCACUUUGUGUUUCAUACUAUUUCUGUCAAAUGAGAAAAACAAUAUCAAAAUGGCCUUUAAGUUUGAAAUUAAAAAGACGUUCGUCACGUUUACGCCCAGUAAGACUUUCACCAACAGAGUGGAAACGCCUUUUUCUUGCAGGAAGCAUAGUGUGGUUACAUUCGAUGACAGGACAAAUCAAAUCCGUCGAGCGAUUUUUAACUGCACGUGCCAGACAAAAUGUAGCACAAAGGGAAAUGCCUCCGCUAACAAUCCUAAUUAUCCAGCAGUCCCGAAACAUGUCAAUACGGUUCUGCGACAUGUGAUUCGCUCGAGUGUUUGUAAACAUGCGUCAAAAGCAUGUGAUUCUGCUGACGGCAUACUGCGCUCAAGACGGACAACCAAUCAGAACACGGGGGUGUGCGCCCUGGGCGGGGCCUCGCUGUGGUUCUGUGGAAAAUUCGAUGUGCGCGGCAUCAAGACGCUUUAUAAUUGAAAAAAGAAGUUCAAGCCGAUAGCAUCCAUCGUUUGACAUCGCCAACAGACAGAAUAAAGACACGUCUGUUCAGGUGAUUCUUAGAAAGAAGAAAAAUCAAGGUGGGGAUUGCAGGGAGGAGGGUUUUCUGCUGCGACAAAGGUGUGCGUGCGUGUGGUUGGCCCGGACUACUUGGCGUGGCGAAGAUAGGAUGUUACGCAGUUCUUAUUUACAACCCAGUGUGCUUUGCCCCGAGCCGUGUAAUGUUUUCAUCUCGAUCAGACAGUCAGAAUACCGCCUCACAGUGAAUCCGGGAUGACGAGCAACCACAACACUGCAAAGAUAAACUGGAGCAGAGAGGAGGAUUAUCAUUGGCUGGUGGUGUAUCAUUAGACAGCGGGCUGCCGCGCGCCCUGCCAACUGACCUACCUCAGUUCCACACAGAUUGAGAUGUCAUACGGAGGAGCAUGCUGGGA